rnacentral:lncRNA from 1 species
AUGAAAACAAGUUUGCUCGCUCGCUCUCUCGCCCGCUCUCGCUCCCUCUCUCGGGCAGGAGGAGGGGAGGAGGCUGAGGUUACCAUUACCUCAGGAGGGCGGACUUCCCCACUUUUAAAGUGGCAGUGCCCUCUCCCCUCCCCUCGCCGCUCCACCGCUCUCACUACAAGAAUACAGUGGCAGCUCGCUCGGGCGCACGCAGACCCGGGCCAGGGCGUCCCCAGCGACUUGGGGCUUUGCUCAGGCACACGCGGGCGCAAACAUGCCGUUCCCGGCCCCAGUCCCAGGGAGCCUCCGACACAGAAAACCCGCCGAACAGCUCCGCGGCCCCCCCCCCGCCCCGUUGACCCCCUCAAAAGCCUCCCUGAAAGCGUCUUUCCCCCGGGGGGGGCAGUUCCUCCAAGAGGACACCCCGGGUCAUGGCGCCACCGCUGCAGGCGACUGAGAACGCGGGGCCCCGCUCGCCAUCCCGCACUUGGCCGCGCAGCGCGCUCCGCCGCCCGGGAGGAGAGUGGAGCGGAGCGGGCCGCUCGCCAGCUCGCCAGCCGCCCGCACCCGCUGCCAUGUGCUGGCUGUUGCUCUCCCAGUGAUUGACAGGCGGGCGCACAGUCGGCGUGUCAGCAGCGAACCAAAGUAACAUGCAGUCUUGCACGUUUUUGCCGAAGUGCUUUUGCCCCUUGGAAUGCCUAGGAGUUCAAACAACGUUCAAGCGACGCCUCUGCGCAUUGGAAAUCAAUACACAGAGACGGGAAAUUCAGGUUUUAGACAAUUGCUUCUCGGGAUUCGGUCGCCAACAAUGCCUAAACAAACACGCAUUUGGUCCACACACCCGAGUGCCAGCCCCUCUUCGGCAUAAACCACCCAGUUUUUCACACAUCCGACCGUUUCAGACUUUAACCUUGUUAAGUAGUUCGCUUACGGGGGGGGGGGGGGGAGGGAAAGGGGCCCUGCUUUUUCUUUUGGUGGUAGCAUUUAUUUUAAGAGCAUUAGGUUUAGUAGUGGGAAUGCUACUGGUAAUUUGAAAUGCAACCAGUAAUCUUAGAUCUAAAGCGAGUUCAAAGAAAUAACCAGUUCCUUGCAAAAGCCAACAUUUCUCACCUGACCUUUCCUAAAAUGUCUGCGGAAAGAAAGGAAGGAAACAGUUCUUACCUAACGCAAAGAUUGGAAAUUGCUUUUCAGGCACAUUUACAGCGACUGUAGCUGCUCCUUAUCCAGGGCAGGGAGUUCUGUCUGCAGCUAUCACUCUGCAAACCACUGAGUGCCUUACAGAGCAGUCCCACUCCGGCUCCGCAGAAUUUCAGCUCGUCGCGGGCACCUCCACCUCCACUCCAGGACACGCCUCCAGUGAUAUCAUAUGUCAAUCAUACGGGCUGCCUGAAAACCUGGAGCAGGAUUUCCCCAACAGUCGUUUCCUCUUUCGUUCAUGAGUUCUCGCUUGGAAAUGUUGCCCAGUACCCUCCUGUGAAAAACGUCCUCUAAAAAUGUGGAUUGCCUCUAAAAAUCCUGCAAAUGCUGUUUGUCAUGAAAGAAUACCUUUAAAUCUAGUCAGCAGUCUUUAGUCAUCAAUCUCAGUAAAAGGAUUGGUGGACUCUAUCCUUAAAGUUGAAUUAGAAAACAAUUUUUUUUGAAGAAUAAAAGAAGAUUAAAAAGUUGUAUAUCAAGCCAUCACUUCUGAUCAGUUAGUGAGAGAAUGUAUAUUGAUAGGAAAAAGAUGAUAAUAUAACAUUAGUUCCUAUUUAAAGCAAAGUUCAGACUAUGUGGAACCUCAAAGUUCAAAAGGUGGCACUCCUUACUGCAAAUGUAUGUAACAAUAUGUCAUUAAGGCGCAAUCUCCUACUGUAGAUUUUAUAAUAAUUGCUCUAUCUUGAUUUGUGAUAUAACUUCCCCAAAAUCAAAUUUUAAAAAUCCCAAACUCCUUCAAUUUUGUAAUAUAUUUAUAAUUUUGAAAAAAAAUAUUUUUAAAAUCAGCUAAAUGGCAAUCAAUUAAAAUAGAGAUAAUUUUCCGAGAAGUUGUAUAAUUCUUAAGCAUAAAUGAUGUGUCACUGAAAAAAAAAAGCAUUUUAAUCAGUAGGAAACUUGCUUUUUGUUUCCUUACAAACUAUUGGAUUUUAGACAUUUAUUAUCAAAAUCGUGUACUUCAUGCUGCAGUGAGGGUAACAAUAUGUGAAAUUUGAGUUUCCACAGAGACUUUUAAAAGGUACCUAAAACCCAAAAACAUAUAGUAAGUGGAAAGGAAAUAUUUUCUCCAGGUACUACAUAUCAGAAGUAGCUUAAAGUCUUUGACAAACAAAGCAAAACUCCAGGAAAAAAAAAUCAUAUAAAUUUGAGUACGGACAUUUUUGGUUCCAAGUAAUUUUUUAAUCUCCUUCUUUAAUAGCAAGUGAUUCUUUUGAAACUGUUUUUUUCUAUUCUAGACUUUCAAAUGUUUGAGCACUUUAAAAAAUUAAAGUUGUAUUUGGAAUAACCUCUCAGGACCCUAGGGCACUGCUAAGACCAUCAGCAAGAAGAAGAAGCCAUCACUAGAAAAUAACAUAGAACAAGAAUUAAAGCAAGAAGCUACCUAUUCAGUCAAUAUAAGUUGUAAUAAAACAGUCUGUUUCAAAGGAUAAAAUCAACAUUAUUGUACAUAUUUUCUAUUUUUUCAUAUAUCUCAUUAUAUUUGGGGAUGUAAUGAACUUUAACCAGUGGAUAAGUUUCUUGCCCAAUUUGAAUGGGUGUGGAAUAGUCAACUCAGAAAUAGAACAUUCCAUCAGAGUAUCUUACGUGGGUCUUCAAAAUUGUCUUCUCCGCUAUCACCACAAUUUGAGGAUGAGAGGUCAGUUCACCAAUAUGAUAAAACCAGGAGAGGGAACACUGAACAUUUUACUUCCAUA